rnacentral:rRNA from 1 species
UUGAACGCUGGCGGCAGGCCUAACACAUGCAAGUCGAGCGGAUGAAGGGAGCUUGCUCCUGGAUUCAGCGGCGGACGGGUGAGUAAUGCCUAGGAAUCUGCCUGGUAGUGGGGGAUAACGUCCGGAAACGGGCGCUAAUACCGCAUACGUCCUGAGGGAGAAAGUGGGGGAUCUUCGGACCUCACGCUAUCAGAUGAGCCUAGGUCGGAUUAGCUAGUUGGUGGGGUAAAGGCCUACCAAGGCGACGAUCCGUAACUGGUCUGAGAGGAUGAUCAGUCACACUGGAACUGAGACACGGUCCAGACUCCUACGGGAGGCAGCAGUGGGGAAUAUUGGACAAUGGGCGAAAGCCUGAUCCAGCCAUGCCGCGUGUGUGAAGAAGGUCUUCGGAUUGUAGAGCACUUUAAGUUGGGAGGAAGGGCAGUAAGUUAAUACCUUGCUGCUUUGACGUUACCAACAGAAUAAGCACCGGCUAACUUCGUG